ACGAAGGGUGCAAGCGUUAAUCGGAAUUACUGGGCGUAAAGGGUGCGUAGGCGGUUCGUUAAGUCUGUCGUGAAAUCCCCGGGCUCAACCUGGGAAUGGCGAUGGAUACUGGCGAGCUAGAGUGUGUCAGAGGAUGGUGGAAUUCCCGGUGUAGCGGUGAAAUGCGUAGAUAUCGGGAAGAACACCCGUGGCGAAGGCGGCUCUCUGGGACGGUACUGACGCUGAGACGCGAAAGCGUGGGGAGCGAACAGGA
rnacentral:rRNA from 1 species